AAUAAGCAACAAAAACAAUAAAAAGCAACAACAAAAAAUCUGGGGAGGGGAAAGAAUAUGAAAACCUCGUCUCUACUAAAAUUACAAAAAUUAGCCGGGUGUGGUGGUGGGUUUGCAAGAGGCAGUGAAGGCAGCCAGUUCAGGCUGAAACAGGCUUCACAGACUUACACAACUGGCAGAGAGGUUAGCAAGUAGAAAGUAUGAGUAUGCAGUAAGUAUACAGACAACUAUACAAAUGAAACUAAAACAGUUAUUAACUCCAGGAAAAACAAAAAGUUGUAAGAAAAAGGUAAUCAUAGUUUACCAAAUAUUAAUAGUGAACUGUAAAUAGCUGCGAAAUGGACAAAGAAAAUUGUUGCUUGAAUGGGAUUACUACUCUUGCUAUUUAAGUCAUUUAGGUGAUCUCACUAAGGCAUUUUCCUCACCACGUAUUUCUUAGAGAUAUAAUUAAUCGUAUUCUUCUCAACAUACUCUCUUGGUGAACAAACCCUUAUGAAGACAUUUUUAAUUUAGAACUAAAUCCAAUUUUGGAAAGCAUUAAGCAAAUUUUACAAUAUUGUAAUAGUCCUAUGGAAGCUUGCUAAGUUGAAAAAUCUAUGCUCACAAAAUUACUAAAAAAUCUAUAAUGAUGUAAGAGAAGUCUCGACUAUUCAAGUAAUCCAGUCACCCACGUGGAGCCACAUAUAGCAGAUACUGAAGUUCUCUGAUACCAUAAAAGCCUCAUUCCAUUUGGGCACAAAAACAAAGGUGGUAACUGGAGCCUCUGCCCCUCAGAGUUCUAGAUCUUAGGUAAC
rnacentral:lncRNA from 1 species